rnacentral:rRNA from 1 species
CGAACGGGUGAGUAACACGUGGGCAACCUGCCCAAANAGGGGAUAACACUUGGAAACAGGUGCUAAUACCGCAUAACCAUAGUUACCGCAUGGUAACUAUGUAAAAGGUGGCUAUGCUACCGCUUUUGGAUGGGCCCGCGGCGCAUUAGCUAGUUGGUGGGGUAAAGGCUUACCAAGGCAAUGAUGCGUAGCCGAACUGAGAGGUUGAUCGGCCACAUUGGGACUGAGACACGGCCCAAACUCCUACGGGAGGCAGCAG